AACGAACGCUGGCGGCAGGCCUAACACAUGCAAGUCGAGCGAGGACUUCGGUCCUAGCGGCGGACGGGUGAGUAACGCGUGGGAACGUGCCCCUUGGUACGGAAUAGCCCCGGGAAACUGGGAGUAAUACCGUAUGAGCUCUACGGAGGAAAGAUUUAUCGCCAAGGGAUCGGCCCGCGUUGGAUUAGGUAGUUGGUGGGGUAAUGGCCCACCAAGCCGACGAUCCAUAGCUGGUUUGAGAGGAUGAUCAGCCACACUGGGACUGAGACACGGCCCAGACUCCUACGGGAGGCAGCAGUGGGGAAUCUUAGACAAUGGGCGCAAGCCUGAUCUAGCCAUGCCGCGUGAGCGAUGAAGGCCUUAGGGUUGUAAAGCUCUUUCAGCGAGGAAGAUAAUGACUGUACUCGCAGAAGAAGCCCCGGCUAACUCCGUGCCAGCCGCCGCCGUAACAC
rnacentral:rRNA from 1 species